rnacentral:lncRNA from 1 species
CUUCAAUAUCUAGUUAUGAUUUUCAAUGUUAUUUUUUACAUAGAAAUACUUUCUAAUAUUUUUGUUUUCCAAACAAUGAUGAUAAUUAUUUCAUAAAAAAAUACAUUUUAUUUUCUAUUUUGAUCAAGGCACUAUUUUAUAAAUUUAGAACAACCAGAUGAAAUUUAGAAAAAAAAUUAUGAAAAUAACAAGCCCAUGUUUAUAAAAGAAGAAUACCUCUUUUGGGUUCUGAAUUGAGGCUCAAGAGGAAAAUCCAAGCAAGCGGCCUAAACAAAGAUGGGCAUCUAGGUCAGACACUAAGCGGGUCGGGCUUAAACCAGGAGGGUUGGGUCGGGUCUACUAAAAAAAAACAAAAAAAAAACUUAUUCUAUCUUUCCUUUAAAAAAGUUAUCCUCUUAGCAGGAAAAAUUAGAGCACACCGCCCGAGCCCAGUUUCUAGCACCUUUGCGCCACCGUCGCCGUCGCACCUUCAUCGUCAGUCGCAUUUCGCCAGCACCAAUUCAGUUCCCAAUCAACACCGAAAUGAAUCUCUCUUCUUCCUCUUCACACUUUCCUAACUGGUUUUCUCUAGAAACGCCUCUAAGCUCCUAGAUCUAACUUUGAAACCAACUGUAUCAAACCAAAAAGUCAUUGACAACCGCUGCUCCAAUGGCUCCGAUUUUCAAUACAUCAUUCUCCUCCUUCUCCUCUUGCUUUAUCCCAAAAAAUAAGACCCAAAAUCCUUCCAAACUACCCAAACCGAAACCCUCAAAGAACCUCCUCUGUUCGUGUGAUUUUUUUUGUAGCACCUUAUGGGGAAUGAGGUUGAUUUUCGUGUUUUUUUAGGUUGGAUUUUUGGGUAAGAAUGGGAUUCUCGAUGGGUGAAGGGAUUGAUAAGGGCGUCGGUGGUGAGGGGAGGCUGUUUCGGAGUUGGGGAAUUUAGGUUUAGUUGAUGGGGUUGUAUUGGUGUUGCAGCAGAUGGUGGCUUCGGUGGGUUUAUGGUGGUGGUCUUGGCUCUAGGUAGCGAUCUCAGGGGAGGGUUGUCAAUGAUGGCAGGGGUGAUAGGAAGCUCAGCUAGUGGUAAUGUUGUCUUGCUCUGUUCUGAUGAAGGGAAUUGCUGGGACUUUUGGUUCUGAAAAAUUGGUUCCCCUUCUCCGAAUCCCCUUGUGAAUUGCUUUCAUUUUAUCAAAAUUAGAAAAAGCUAAAAGCUUGCUGCAUCUAAAAGGUAAAUUGAGAACUUUAGCUUGUUGUGGCGUGUAAGAUGGGUUAGAGAAAGUGGUUGUGUUUGGGAGAAUGAAGCUGUGAUCCAUUGGUGCUAGGAAAUCAGAGGGGUAAAAGGGAGGUGAAAAUAGGAUAGCUGAGAAUGGUGCGGCAAAAUGGGUUGGAAGAUCUGAGAAAGCUGGCUGCCAUGGUAGACCAAGCUUCGGUUUUUUUUCUUUUAUUGUUAACUUUUUAAUUAAUUUUAAUAAAAAUGAAAAUGAAACUGAGCUUUAAAACUUGACUUGGGCCUAGAAUUAGAGUUUGGGCUUGAAAAAU